rnacentral:rRNA from 1 species
ACUAGAGUGCGAGUAGAGAGAGAUUGGAAUUCCCUGGUGUAGCGGUGAAAUGCGCAGAUAUCAGGAGGAACACCGAUGGCGAAGGCAGAUCUCUGGGCCGUAACUGACGCUGAGGAGCGAAAGGGUGGGGAGCAAACAGGCUUAGAUACCCUGGUAGUCCACCCCGUAAACGUUGGGAAACUAGUUGUGGGUCCAUUCCACGGAUUCCGUGACGCAGCUAACGCAUUAAGUUCCCCGCCUGGGGAGUACGGCCGCAAGGCUAAAACUCAAAGGAAUUGACGGGGACCCGCACAAGCGGCGGAGCAUGCGGAUUAAUUCGAUGCAACGCGAAGAACCUUACCAAGGCUUGACAUACACGAGAACGCUGCAGAAAUGUAGAACUCUUUGGACACUCGUGAACAGGUGGUGCAUGGUUGUCGUCAGCUCGUGUCGUGAGAUGUUGGGUUAAGUCCCGCAACGAGCGCAACCCUCGUUCUAUGUUGCCAGCACGUAAUGGUGGGAACUCAUGGGAUACUGCCGGGGUCAACUCGGAGGAAGGUGGGGAUGACGUCAAAUCAUCAUGCCCCUUAUGUCUUGGGCUUCACGCAUGCUACAAUGGCCGGUACAAAGGGCUGCAAUACCGCGAGGUGGAGCGAAUCCCAAAAAGCCGGUCCCAGUUCGGAUUGAGGUCUGCAACUCGACCUCAUGAAGUCGGAGUCGCUAGUAAUCGCAGAUCAGCAACGCUGCGGUGAAUACGUUCCCGGGUCUUGUACACACCGCCCGUCAAGUCAUGAAAGUCGGUACCUUCUCUGAAGCCUCUACCCAGCCCGUGUGGAGCGAGCCGUCCAAUAGUAGAUCAGCAGUUCCAGGG